rnacentral:rRNA from 1 species
GCUACACAUGCAGUCGAGCGAGACCUUCGGGUCUAGCGGCGGACGGGUGAGUAACGCGUGGGAACGUGCCCUUUUCUACGGAAUAGCCUCGGGAAACUGAGCGUAAUACCGUAUACGCCCUUUGGGGGAAAGAUUUAUCGGAAAAGGAUCGGCCCGCGUUGGAUUAGGUAGUUGGUGGGGUAAUGGCCUACCAAGCCUACGAUCCAUAGCUGGUUUGAGAGGAUGAUCAGCCACACUGGGACUGAGACACGGCCCAGACUCCUACGGGAGGCAGCAGUGGGGAAUCUUAGACAAUGGGGGCAACCCUGAUCUAGCCAUGCCGCGUGAGUGAUGAAGGCCUUAGGGUUGUAAAGCUCUUUCAGCUGGGAAGAUAAUGACGGUACCAGCAGAAGAAGCCCCGGCUAACUCCGUGCCAGCAGCCGCGGUAAUACGGAGGGGGCUAGCGUUGUUCGGAAUUACUGGGCGUAAAGCGCACGUAGGCGGACCAGAAAGUUGGGGGUGAAAUCCCGGGGCUCAACCUCGGAACUGCCUUCAAAACUAUUGGUCUGGAGUUCGAGAGAGGUGAGUGGAAUUCCGAGUGUAGAGGUGAAAUUCGUAGAUAUUCGGAGGAACACCAGUGGCGAAGGCGGCUCACUGGCUCGAUACUGACGCUGAGGUGCGAAAGCGUGGGGAGCAAACAAGGAUUAGAUACCCUGGUAGUCCACGCCGUAACGAUGAAUGCCAGUCGUCGGG